CUGUAUACGGUCCCAUAAUGAAGACCGACUGUACGUCGAUACGUGAAAUUCCGGAGGGACGUCGGACGGCGUGGCGCGGGGACGUGAUGACGUGUGACGUUAAUCCGUCUACGUUCUAUAACACGUGACACGGGAACAUGAAAGGAGUAUUCUAAAAGCGCCUCGUGUAAACACCUUAAUCACGGUAUUAUACGUCUUAUUCAGAAUAAGGUCCGUGAUUAGAUCACCGCCGUCCGCGUAAACGUACUCGUUGAGGCAAUUUGAUUAAAACAUAAAUCAAUUAAAAAAAAGCUGAGCAGGCCACACCCACUAUGACACACCCACUGAAAAACAGAUCAUAGAGAUGCCAGAAUUUAAUAUUUAAUAUUAGAAUAAAUAAUAUGUCGGGUAUUUAUUAUCAAUGAGCGAUGAUCAUCGUGUGUGAAAGUGAAAGUGUACUACUGAAGACAUCGGUAAAGGUGCAUUAGGUGAGAUUAGGUGAGACCACACCCUUUUACCUGCCCAUGUUCAAGUAGCUCCGCCCCCAGGAUCUACAGCAGCUAAUGGACUCUAUUUUAUAUAAAAUAACUCAACAGGAGGCGGAGCCAAACACAAACAAGCCAAUCCGGCGUUUUCCAAACGGGUUUUCUCGCCGAAUUGCUGAAGCCACGUCUCAAACUGUUCUUUUCUCUUGUUCUGCGCAUCCUCCAGGUUUUCUGUAAAAGUAAGGAAUAAAGUGGCAUUUGGGGCAAACAGGAAGUGAGGAUUGUGUCUGAUUAACAAAGGCUCAUUUAGAUCGGCACUCGCUAUCGGAUGAGGACGUAAUUAAAGUCAUCGCCGUAUGAAUCUGAUUGAUAACGAAGGCUAACGAAGUGCAGGAUGGAUUCUCCGUGUUACCCCAGUGUCUCUCAGCCACUUUAUACUUCUUCGUUUUAUUUCUUUAUUUAUUUUUAUUUCAUGUAGUUUUUUGUUUUUUUUUAAAUCAAUUCAAAUUAAUACGCGAUCACAUGACAUCACCGCCAGCCUUUCUUCUUCCAGUUCUACACUGUAUAAUGUUUCAGCUCAGCUAAGUGACAGUAGCUAAGCUAGCCAGCUAUCUCAGCACAAGAUCGUGCUAUCGUUAGCCUGAUAACUACUGUACAUAGCUAGCCACAAAGUGAUCGAAACACUGAAAUAUACCUACGUUGUGAUAUGUUCUCUGGUUUAUGAUAGUUUUAGGCAGUUAUUAUUGUAACUACCUGUUGCAUAGUUAAAUAAUGUAGUAAAUUUAUAUAUAUUAAGAGCAAACAGGUCUCUAAAUUAAUAGUGUUUAGCUAGGUACAAGUGUUCCAAUUGUUAGCUAGGUACAAGUGCUAGCUGUUUACAGGAAUGCGUAUUUAUAUUUACCGCCACAUCCUCCGCCAAACACGGAAAGUUUGGGGGGGAAAAUAUACAUAAAGCUAAUUAUAUCGCUAAUUUUAAUGAAGAAUUCCACCGGCGCUGAAUUGGAUCCUCCCCAUUAUGACGGCUGCACUGACGUGUCAUAAGAACUAGCAACGAUCUGACUGGGUUUUUACUAGAUAAAUCUAUGGUUUGAAUGAAUGAACGAGACAGGAGAGACAAGCGAUGCGUGAGAACUGUACAUGAACAGGUACAGGAAACAAUGACCAUAUAAGGAAAAAAGAUCCCACACUAUGGCUCAGAAGCUGUUUGUUUAGUUUAUAGAUAGUUUUUCGUCCAUUUGGAGGUAAAUGUGUGUGCGCGCGCGCGUGUGUGUGUGUGUGCGUGUGUGUGUGUUUGUGUACGUAAAGGAACAGGAAGUGCUCAGAAAGUUUUUUUCUCCAGCACGCGGCGGUGCUUUAAAGAAAGUUUUGAGAGCACAGGAAGUCAUCGCCAUGCAGCGGGAGGAGAGAGCACAGCUCUGAGAAUGACAACACACUCCAUUUACAUUCACCCGAACACACACACACACACACACACACACAUCCCUCCUUCUUCCUCUGUUCUUCUUCUCUCGCUCUCUUCUCUCUCUCUUCUCUCUUUUCCCUGUCUGAAAUCUGAAAUCUAUCAAUCAAAAUCUCAGGAAGUUUUUAUGGUCGCGUCAGAGUGAGAGAAAAGUUACAAAUGCAAAGUUUAACCUAGAUUUACAUUUCCUCAUGGAGAUAGACUGAACGAGAGAGAGAGAGAGAGAGAGAGAGAGAGAGAGAGAUUAUGAGAAAAAAGCAGAAAUUAAGAAAAACAAAAGUGGCAGAAUGUGAUAAGAAUGAAAGAAAGGCAAAAUGAAAGAAAGAAUAAAAAACAGAAGAAGUGACUGAGUGAAAGAAAGAAAGAAAGAAAGACAAAAUGAAUGAAGGAAAGAAAGGACGGCGCUCGUCAUCAGGACGUAAUUAAAUCAUCGUAAAAAGUUGUAGUGAAAGGAAGAAAAAGAAAUGAAGAAAGAAAGAAUAAAAGAAAGGAAGAAAAGAGAGGGCUGGUGAGGGACGACUGUUUGUAGCUGCUACGAUAUAAAUGAGAACAGGAACUGACUCGAAUCUGACGUUCC
ensembl:lncRNA